rnacentral:rRNA from 1 species
GGGGAAUCUUCCGCAAUGGGCGAAAGCCUGACGGAGCGACGCCGCGUGGAGGAUGAAGGCCUUCGGGUUGUAAACUCCUGUCACGGGUUAUGAAACGGCGUGGUUUAACAGGCCACGUUUUGACGUAAGCCCGGAAGGAAGCACCGGCUAACUCUGUGCCAGCAGCCGCGGUAAUACAGAGGGUGCGAACGUUGUUCGGAAUUACUGGACAUAAAGCGCGCGUAGGCGGCCACGUAAGUGUCUUGUGAAAUCCCACGGCUCACCCGUGUGAAUUGUGAGGCAUACUGCGUGGCUAGAGUGUGGUAGGGGAGAGCGGAACUCCUGGUGGAGCGGUGAAAUGCGUAGAUAUCAGGAGGAACACCGGUGGCGAAGGCGGCUCUCUGGUCCAUUACUGACGCUGAGGUGCGAAAGCUAGGGUAGCGAAUGGGAUUAGAUACCCCUGUAGUC